GGUUAAGCGACUAAGCGUACACGGUGGAUGCCCUGGCAGUCAGAGGCGAUGAAGGACGUGCUAAUCUGCGAUAAGCGUCGGUAAGGUGAUAUGAACCGUUAUAACCGGCGAUUUCCGAAUGGGGAAACCCAGUGUGAUUCGUCACACUAUCAUUACGUGAAUAUAUAGCGUAAUGAAGCGAACCGGGGGAACUGAAACAUCUAAGUACCCCGAGGAAAAGAAAUCAACCGAGAUUCCCCCAGUAGCGGCGAGCGAACGGGGAGCAGCCCAGAGUCUGAAUCAGCUUGUGUGUUAGUGGAACGGUCUGGAAAGUCCGACGGUACAGGGUGAUAGUCCCGUACACCAAAAUGCACAGGUUGUGAACUCGAAGAGUAGGGCGGGACACGUGGUAUCCUGUCUGAAUAUGGGGGGACCAUCCUCCAAGGCUAAAUACUCCUGACUGACCGAUAGUGAACCAGUACCGUGAGGGAAAGGCGAAAAGAACCCCGGCGAGGGGAGUGAAAAAGAACCUGAAACCGUGUACGUACAAGCAGUGGGAGCCUCUUUAUGGGGUGACUGCGUACCUUUUGUAUAAUGGGUCAGCGACUUAUAUUCUGUAGCAAGGUUAACCGUAUAGGGGAGCCGAAGGGAAACCGAGUCUUAACUGGGCGUUAAGUUGCAGGGUAUAGACCCGAAACCCGGUGAUCUAGCCAUGGGCAGGUUGAAGGUUGGGUAACACUAACUGGAGGACCGAACCGACUAAUGUUGAAAAAUUAGCGGAUGACUUGUGGCUGGGGGUGAAAGGCCAAUCAAACCGGGAGAUAGCUGGUUCUCCCCGAAAGCU
rnacentral:rRNA from 1 species